rnacentral:rRNA from 1 species
UACGUAGGGGGCAAGCGUUAAUCGGAAUUACUGGGCGUAAAGCGUGCGCAGGCGGUUUUGCAAGACAGAUGUGAAAUCCCCGGGCUCAACCUGGGAAUUGCAUUUGUGACUGCACGGCUAGAGUGUGUCAGAGGGGGGUAGAAUUCCACGUGUAGCAGUGAAAUGCGUAGAGAUGUGGAGGAAUACCGAUGGCGAAGGCAGCCCCCUGGGAUAACACUGACGCUCAUGCACGAAAGCGUGGGGAGCAAACAGG